GCCAGCCCGCUCAGAACUCAAAGGAAUUGACGGGGCCCGCACAAGCGGUGGAGCAUGUGGUUUAAUUCGAUGAUACGCGAGGAACCUUACCUGGGCUCAAAUGUAUGUUGACGUAUUCUGAAAGGGAUACUUCUUCGGACAAUAUACAAGGUGCUGCAUGGUUGUCGUCAGCUCGUGCCGUGAGGUGUCGGGUUAAGUCCCCAUAAACGAGCGCAACCCCUACCUUUAGUUGCCAUCAGGUUAAGCUGGGGACUCUAAAGGAACUGCCUACGCAAGUAGUGAGGAAGGCGGGGAUGACGUCAAAUCAGCACGGCCCUUACGUCCAGGGCUACACACGUGCUACAAUGGCCGAUACAGAGGGCAGCUACCUGGUGACAGGAUGCAAAUCUCCAAAGUCGGUCUCAGUUCGGAUCGGAGUCUGCAACCCGACUCCGUGAAGUUGGAUUCGCUAGUAAUCGCGCAUCAGCCAUGGCGCGGUGAAUACGUUCCCGGGCCUU
rnacentral:rRNA from 1 species